ACUCCCAUAGCUCAGCUGGUUAGAGCAUUGUACUUAUGAGCUGUGUUCCAGUCAUAUGCCGCGUAGAAAUGCAGGGGUCACGGGUUCGAAUCCCGUUGGGAGUA
rfam:Edhazardia aedis TSNM 41457 supercont1.17, whole genome shotgun sequence.